GAAAAACUGCCAGCUGCCGUUCCUUGUCUGAUACAAAAGAUCAUUCAUCUCCAAACUAGACCCAGUAAGGUGUCAGAUCUGUGAAGGGAGGUGGGAAGUAAAUAAAGGGGCGAAGAGAGAGAGGCUGACUCCUGACGCAUCCAAAUACUACCCAUCUAUAAGAAAAUCUGCUUUUUGGAAAGAGGAAUAAUCUGCAGAGCACAACACUGAUAAAUCUAAAUGGAUUGAAGCCUGCGUGUAUUUAAGAUGAAUGAUCAAAAGAGCCAAGUGGCACAAAGCACAAAUGGGAUACGAGAAACAACAGUAAUAAUGAAGGCAAUUAG
rnacentral:lncRNA from 1 species